rnacentral:rRNA from 1 species
UACGUAGGGUGCGAGCGUUGUCCGGAAUUAUUGGGCGUAAAGAGCUCGUAGGCGGUUUGUCACGUCUGCUGUGAAAUCCCGAGGCUCAACCUCGGGCCUGCAGUGGGUACGGGGCAGACUGGAGUGCGGUAGGGGAGAAUGGAAUUCCUGGUGUAGCGGUGGAAUGCGCAGAUAUCAGGAGGAACACCGAUGGCGAAGGCAGUUCUCUGGGCAUUAACUGACGCUGAGGAGCGAAAGCAUGGGGAGCGAACAGG